rnacentral:RNase_P_RNA from 1 species
CCAGAAGGCCGGACGGUCGCCGCUUUGCAAAAAGGGGAGGAAAGUCCGGGCUCCCUGAAAACACGGUGCCGGAUAACGUCCGGGCACAAAGGCUUCGGUUUUUGUGACGGCCAGUGCAACAGAAAGCAAACCGCCGGCAGGCUUCGGCCCGCCGGUAAGGGUGAAAGGGUGCGGUAAGAGCGCACCGCGUUUCCGGUAACGGAAACGGCAUGGUAAACCCCACCGGGAGCAAGACCAAAUAGGGAGAGCACGCGGGCAACCGCAGGGCCUGUUUUCAGCCUGCUUUCCGGGUCGGUCGCUGGAGGCGUCGGGCAACCGCCGCCCUAGAUGAAUGACCGUCACCCCGCAAGGGGCACAGAACCCGGCUUACAGGCCUUCUGGCUAU